GGUCAAUAUCCCUAAUGGACCUUGAGAUGAGGAACACAGAUUUAUGACUCUCAUUAAAAAUUUAGUCCGCCAUACAAUUGUAGAAGCUGUGAUUUAAAAAAUUGACAUAAAUGAACUAGGACUGGUGUUUUAUAGCGCUGAUGUGAUGUGAAAAAAAGUAUAAAAAAAUAAACCUGAACAAAUAAUUACAAAGGAUAUAUUUUUUAAUGAUUUUUAUGGUCAGAAUUUUGUGAUUAUUUCCUGAGGAGAGUGACAUUUUUCACUAUCUUUCGGGGUUGGGCACUUGACGGGAAAACGAAUCACACUUGCCACCCCGAAAAUCGCACCACACAUGUGCAAGUGUCUCAGCUUCAAAAUGAGCCAUCAUACAUAUCCAAGUUUACGAUAUGGCCUGAGCAACAGAAGAAAACGUUAACAUUACCGCCUAUGGAGAAUCUAUUACGCAUAUUGCCCCAAUUUGUGGCCUUGAAUUUCAAAGGUGAUGGAGUGUUUCAUGGCUCAGUGACCACAAUUUAGGAUGAUAGCUGCUGAAAUCAAGAUAUGGCUAAAACUUCACAGAAUUGUUAAGAAAUGUGUACUAAAGGGAUACAAACUGCAAUAUAAGUGGAAUCUGACAUUAGCUGAUCUAAUAUGGGUCAAUAUCCCUAAUGGACCUUGAGAUGAGGAACACAGAUUUAUGACUCUCAUUAAAAAUUUAGUCCGCCAUACAAUUGUAGAAGCUGUGAUUUAAAAAAUUGACAUAAAUGAACUAGGACUGGUGUUUUAUAGCGCUGAUGUGAUGUGAAAAAAAGUAUAAAAAAAUAAACCUGAACAAAUAAUUACAAAGGAUAUAUUUUUUAAUGAUUUUUAUGGUCAGAAUUUUGUGAUUAUUUCCUGAGGAGAGUGACAUUUUUCACUAUCUUUCGGGGUUGGGCACUUGACGGGAAAACGAAUCACACUUGCCACCCCGAAAAUCGCACCACACAUGUGCAAGUGUCUCAGCUUCAAAAUGAGCCAUCAUACAUAUCCAAGUUUACGAUAUGGCCUGAGCAACAGAAGAAAACGUUAACAUUACCGCCUAUGGAGAAUCUAUUACGCAUAUUGCCCCAAUUUGUGGCCUUGAAUUUCAAAGGUGAUGGAGUGUUUCAUGGCUCAGUGACCACAAUUUAGGAUGAUAGCUGCUGAAAUCAAGAUAUGGCUAAAACUUCACAGAAUUGUUAAGAAAUGUGUACUAAAGGGAUACAAACUGCAAUAUAAGUGGAAUCUGACAUUAGCUGAUCUAAUAUGGGUCAAUAUCCCUAAUGGACCUUGAGAUGAGGAACACAGAUUUAUGACUCUCAUUAAAAAUUUAGUCCGCCAUACAAUUGUAGAAGCUGUGAUUUAAAAAAUUGACAUAAAUGAACUAGGACUGGUGUUUUAUAGCGCUGAUGUGAUGUGAAAAAAAGUAUAAAAAAAUAAACCUGAACAAAUAAUUACAAAGGAUAUAUUUUUUAAUGAUUUUUAUGGUCAGAAUUUUGUGAUUAUUUCCUGAGGAGAGUGACAUUUUUCACUAUCUUUCGGGGUUGGGCACUUGACGGGAAAACGAAUCACACUUGCCACCCCGAAAAUCGCACCACACAUGUGCAAGUGUCUCAGCUUCAAAAUGAGCCAUCAUACAUAUCCAAGUUUACGAUAUGGCCUGAGCAACAGAAGAAAACGUUAACAUUACCGCCUAUGGAGAAUCUAUUACGCAUAUUGCCCCAAUUUGUGGCCUUGAAUUUCAAAGGUGAUGGAGUGUUUCAUGGCUCAGUGACCACAAUUUAGGAUGAUAGCUGCUGAAAUCAAGAUAUGGCUAAAACUUCACAGAAUUGUUAAGAAAUGUGUACUAAAGGGAUACAAACUGCAAUAUAAGUGGAAUCUGACAUUAGCUGAUCUAAUAUGGGUCAAUAUCCCUAAUGGACCUUGAGAUGAGGAACACAGAUUUAUGACUCUCAUUAAAAAUUUAGUCCGCCA